rnacentral:tRNA from 2 species
AUUUAUAUAGUUUAACUUAAAACAAUUCAUUUUCAAUGAAUAAAUGAAUUCAUAUUCUAUAAAUA